CACCCAGUAUAAUACUGUAAACUAUUUAUACAGUACAUAACUGUAAUUCGCGUUGCAUUUUGGGAAUUUUCUGUGACAUCAUACGUAAUUUACUGUAUUUUUGAAAAUUGCUGUAUGCUACUGUAUAUUUUCUAACAGUCUUUUGGCGGUAUUUUCCUUAUUCACACAAAUCCUUAUUUUAUUUUUCUCAAAAUCAUCAUUUUUGACAAUUGUAUACACACAGGCGUUGACUUAUUUUAGCUAAGGAACCAUGUAGCAGCACAGGUGUUCAGAGGACCGAUUUCAGGUGUGCACAUAAACUGAAGAGUUUUCAAACAAGACUUUCCCUGGGACAGCACAGCGGCGCUUUUCAGUUGAAGAUACACGAGAGGAGAGAAUGAAAAAAGACCAGCAAGGAUAAAUUAAGGAGGGUGUAACAAAAUACACUGCAAGAACUGGAAUGAGAGACAAGUGAGGAUGAAGAGGACAACAGAAUAUCCAUCCUUUCUUCACCACCUCAUAGAGUUUGAGUGAAACAACUUGUAUGAGGACUCACAGGAUUAUUUUAUAACAAGACUGAUUAUCUUAUACCAGAAGUUUGGUAUUUUUUUUUGAAGCUACUGUAUUAUUUCUUAUGACAAUUCAUUUUGAUGUGCAUUCAGAACUGUAAGUUGGUAAGUACAUUUACUGUAUUUACUGUAAGUAAAGGCUAAAGAGUAUAUCUCCUCUAGUUCUAAGUUCUAGUUCUAAGUUCUAACAACGUUCCCAAAGGUCCCAAUAAUGUUAAGCCAACAUAAAAGUGUCCAGUUUUUAAAUUGUUUAGGAAUGUUUCUUGAUUGUGCAAAUGUUAGAGGAAUGUUGCAUUUUAUUUUUAGACAAUGUCAUGUUUAAAUGUACUCACAAUGUUUAAAACACAUGUCUAAUAUAUUUUAUGAAUGUUUAUAUGCAAUAUUUUAACAGAACAUUAAGAAAUAAUGUUUUACAACAGUUUGUAAAUAAUAGAAUGUAAUGUUUUUUAUCAUUACAAGCAAAAACAUUCAUAACGUUAUUGGGAACUUUGGGAACUUUCAAGGAACGUUCUUAGAACCUUUCUCUGUGGUUGAGCAUUGUGUUAGCAUCAUAAAACGCCAUAGGUUCGAACAAGGAAAGCACAUGCUGAUAAAAAAUUUAUACUUUGCAUUGCACUGUAUGUUAUUUGCCUUUUUCUGUAAAUGUGAAGAUAAAUGUAAAGACAGACAGUCAUUGUUUCAUUUUAAACCAGUUCUAUUUUAAGAGAACUUAACUAGACUAAAUAAAA